ACAAACUUGGUCAUUUAGAGGAAGUAAAAGUCGUAACAAGGUCUCCGUUGGUGAACCAGCGGAGGGAUCAUUACAGAGUUUACAACUCCCAAACCCAAAUGUGAACAUACCCAUUGUUGCUUCGGCGUUACCCCGCACCGGCGUCCGGACGGCCCCACACGGCCGACCGCGACCCGGAUCCAUGCGGUCGCCGAGGACCAAACCAAAACUUUUUGUAUUCUCAGUUUCUUCUGAAUCCGCCGCAAGGCAAAACAAAUGAAUCAAAACUUUCAACAACGGAUCUCUUGGUUCUGGCAUCGAUGAAGAACGCAGC
rnacentral:misc_RNA from 1 species